GGAGGGGUGGCAGAGUCCGGUUGAAUGCACCAGCCUUGAAAGCUGGCGUGCCGCGUAAGCGGCACCGUGGGUUCGAAUCCCACCCCCUCCG
rnacentral:tRNA from 1 species